CGAAGGGGCGUAGCGUUGCUCGGAAUUACUGGGCGGUAAAGGGAAGCGUAGGCGGACAUUUAAGUCAGGGGUGGAAAUCCCGGGGCGUCAACCUCGGAAUUGCCUUUGAUACUGGGUGUCUUGAGUAUGAGAGAGGUGUGUGGAACUCCGAGUGUAGAGGUGAAAUUCGUAGAUAUUCGGAAGAACACCAGUGGCGAAGGCGACACACUGGCUCAUUACUGACGCUGAGGCUCGAAAGCGUGGGGGAGCAAACAGGAUU
rnacentral:rRNA from 1 species